rnacentral:rRNA from 1 species
CCUACGGGAGGCAGCAGUGAGGAAUAUUGGUCAAUGGCCGGAAGGCUGAACCAGCCAAGCCGCGUGAAGGACGAAGGUGCCAAGCAUUGUAAACUUCUUUUGUCAAGGGACAAAAUCAGGCUCUAGAGCCUGACCGAGGGUACUUGAAGAAAAAGCAUCGGCUAACUCCGUGCCAGCAGCCGCGGUAAUACGGAGGAUGCGAGCGUUAUCCGGAUUUAUUGGGUUUAAAGGGUGCGUAGGCGGGUUGUUAAGUCAGCGGUAAAAGCCCGGGGCUCAACCCCGGCGAGCCGUUGAAACUGGCGGUCUUGAGAUGUCGAGAGGUAUGCGGAAUGCGCAGUGUAGCGGUGAAAUGCUUAGAUAUUGCGCAGAACUCCGAUUGCGAAGGCAGCAUACCGGCGGCGAUCUGACGCUGAGGCUCGAAAGCGUGGGGAGCAAACAGGAUUAGAUACCCGAGUAGUC